GAUGAACGCUGGCGGCGUGCCUAAUACAUGCAAGUCGAACGAAACUUCUUUAUCACCGAGUGCUUGCACUCACCGAUAAAGAGUUGAGUGGCGAACGGGUGAGUAACACGUGGGCAACCUGCCCAAAAGAGGGGGAUAACACUUGGAAACAGGUGCUAAUACCGCAUAACCAUAGUUACCGCAUGGUAACUAUGUAAAAGGUGGCUAUACUACCGCUUUUGGAUGGGCCCGCGGCGCAUUAGCUAGUUGGUAGGGUAAAGGCUUACCAAGGCAAUGAUGCGUAGCCGAAUUGAGAGGUUGAUCGGCCGCAUUGGGACUGAGACACGGCCCAAACUCCUACGGGAGGCAGCAGUAGGGAAUCUUCCACAAUGGGCGAAAGCCUGAUGGAGCAACGCCGCGUGGGUGAAGAAGGUCUUCGGAUCGUAAAACCCUGUUGUUAGAGAAGAAAGUGCGUGAGAGUAACUGUUCACGUUUCGACGGUAUCUAACCAGAAAGCCACGGCUAACUACGUG
rnacentral:rRNA from 1 species